AUUUUUUUAAUUUUUUUGCAGUUCCCAUGGCAAAGAGAAUGCUGUUGCCGAUAGAACCAUCCAGCAGAGAUGUUCCUGUUUCGAAGAGGACAACACUGCCAGCUGAGUCCUUCAACGGUGAAGAUUUAAUGGCCACAAGUACACCAAGGCAAAGAGUCACCCCAAGGCAAAAAGCCACUGAAG